rnacentral:rRNA from 1 species
UGAAAAAUUAAAGGGCCGCGGUAUUUUGACCGUGCAAAGGUAGCAUAAUCAUUAGUCUUCUAAUUAAAGGCUGGAAUGAAUGGUUGGACGAGGUAUUAGCUGUCUCACUAAAACAAGCUAAAAUUUAACUUUUCAGUUAAAAGGCUGAAAUAUUAUUGGAGGACGAGAAGACCCUAUAGAUCUUUAUAUUUUAAUUGUUUAAUCUUUUUAGGGGGCUUGAGAUUUGAUGAGAUAAAUAUUUUGUUGGGGUGACAGGAAGAUAAGAUAAACUAUUUUUUAAAUAAUAC